AGUGAACGCUGGCGGUAGGCCUAACACAUGCAAGUCGAACGGCAGCACAGUAAGAGCUUGCUCUUACGGGUGGCGAGUGGCGGACGGGUGAGGAAUACAUCGGAAUCUACUUUUUCGUGGGGGAUAACGUAGGGAAACUUACGCUAAUACCGCAUACGACCUACGGGUGAAAGCAGGGGAUCUUCGGACCUUGCGCGAAUGAAUGAGCCGAUGUCGGAUUAGCUAGUUGGCGGGGUAAAGGCCCACCAAGGCGACGAUCCGUAGCUGGUCUGAGAGGAUGAUCAGCCACACUGAAACUGAGCCACGGUCCAGGCUCCUACGGGAGGCAGCAGUGUGGAAUAUUGGACAGUGGGCGCAAGCCUGAUCCAGCCAUACCGCGUGGGUGAAGAAGGCCUUCGGGUUGUAAAGCCCUUUUGUUGGGAAAGAAAAGCAGCAGGUUAAUACCCCGCUGUUCUGACGGUACCCAAAGAAUAAGCACCGGCUAACUUCGUG
rnacentral:rRNA from 1 species